AGAUUCUUGUUUAUUUUUUAUUUCUAAUAACUGGUAUAAGUAGGCCAAGGUCUACACCCUCUCCAAACUCAUAGCAAAGGAUGGCUAGGGACAAGAAUAUUGGUCCAAUGGUUCUUCUCCUUGUUUUUGGUUCAAUCCUACUGGGAAUCAAUCCAAGCACAGCCAAAAUUUGCCCUCAGUAUUGUACGGACCAGGCAGGUUAUAUGACCUGUCCAUCUUCAGGCAAUACGCAGCUUUCACCAUCUUGCAAUUGUUGCUUAGCUCCGGCAGGCUGCACCCUUUACAGAGCUGACGGAACUUCAAUCUGUACUGGCACUUAAAAUGAGUGAGCAUGGGGGGGCAUGCCUUGUAUGAUAUAAAUAAUUAUGGUUUGCCAUGAAUGGUUUUUAAGUGGCAAUAUCCAUGCUGCCACUGAUGAAGAAUAAUAUAUGGUCAUAAUAAAUGGGCUUUCCUUGACGCCUAAUGCUUCCCUAAUAUAUAUAUAUAUAUUUGCUUCCUCUGA